UACGUAGGGUGCGAGCGUUGUCCGGAAUUAUUGGGCGUAAAGAGCUCGUAGGCGGUUUGUUGCGUCGGCCGUGAAAACCUGCAGCUUAACUGUGGGCCUGCGGCCGAUACGGGCAGACUUGAGUUCGGUAGGGGAGACUGGAAUUCCUGGUGUAGCGGUGAAAUGCGCAGAUAUCAGGAGGAACACCGGUGGCGAAGGCGGCAUCCUGGACCGACAUUGACGCUGAUGAGCGAAAGCUAGGGGAGCAAACGGG
rnacentral:rRNA from 1 species